rnacentral:rRNA from 1 species
UCGAACGCUUCUUUCCUCCCGAGUGCUUGCACUCAAUUGGAAAGAGGAGUGGCGGACGGGUGAGUAACACGUGGGUAACCUACCCAUCAGAGGGGGAUAACACUUGGAAACAGGUGCUAAUACCGCAUAACAGUUUAUGCCGCAUGGCAUAAGAGUGAAAGGCGCUUUCGGGUGUCGCUGAUGGAUGGACCCGCGGUGCAUUAGCUAGUUGGUGAGGUAACGGCUCACCAAGGCCACGAUGCAUAGCCGACCUGAGAGGGUGAUCGGCCACACUGGGACUGAGACACGGCCCAGACUCCUACGGGAGGCAGCAGUAGGGAAUCUUCGGCAAUGGACGAAAGUCUGACCGAGCAACGCCGCGUGAGUGAAGAAGGUUUUCGGAUCGUAAAACUCUGUUGUUAGAGAAGAACAAGGACGUUAGUAACUGAACGUCCCCUGACGGUAUCUAACCAGAAAGCCACGGCUAACUACGUG